AGAGUUUGAUCAUGGCUCAGGACGAACGCUGGCGGCGUGCUUAACACAUGCAAGUCGAACGGAAAGGCCCUGCUUUUGUGGGGUGCUCGAGUGGCGAACGGGUGAGUAACACGUGAGUAACCUGCCCUUGACUUUGGGAUAACUUCAGGAAACUGGGGCUAAUACCGGAUAGGAGCUCCUGCUGCAUGGUGGGGGUUGGAAAGUUUCGGCGGUUGGGGAUGGACUCGCGGCUUAUCAGCUUGUUGGUGGGGUAGUGGCUUACCAAGGCUUUGACGGGUAGCCGGCCUGAGAGGGUGACCGGCCACAUUGGGACUGAGAUACGGCCCAGACUCCUACGGGAGACAGCAGUGGGGAAUAUUGCACAAUGGGCGGAAGCCUGAUGCAGCAACGCCGCGUGCGGGAUGACGGCCUUCGGGUUGUAAACCGCUUUCGCCUGUGACGAAGCGUGAGUGACGGUAAUGGGUAAAGAAGCACCGGCUAACUACGUGCCAGCAGCCGCGGUAAU
rnacentral:rRNA from 1 species